rnacentral:rRNA from 1 species
ACGGCGAGUGAAGCGGCAAGAGCUCAAAUUUGAAAGCUGGCUCCUUCGGGGUCCGCAUUGUAAUUUGCAGAGGAUGCUUCGGGAGCGGUCCCCAUCUAAGUGCCCUGGAACGGGACGUCAUAGAGGGUGAGAAUCCCGUAUGGGAUGGGGUGUCCGCGCCCGUGUGAAGCUCCUUCGACGAGUCGAGUUGUUUGGGAAUGCAGCUCUAAAUGGGUGGUAAAUUUCAUCUAAAGCUAAAUAUUGGCCGGAGACCGAUAGCGCACAAGUAGAGUGAUCGAAAGAUGAAAAGCACUUUGAAAAGAGAGUUAAAAAGCACGUGAAAUUGUUGAAAGGGAAGCGCUUGCGACCAGACUCGCUCGCGGGGUUCAGCCGGCAUUCGUGCCGGUGUAUUUCCCCGCGGGCGGGCCAGCGUCGGUUUGGGCGGUCGGUCAAAGGCCCUCGGAAGGUAACGCCCCCUCGGGGGCGUCUUAUAGCCGAGGGUGCAAUGCGACCUGCCUGGACCGAGGAACGCGCUUCGGCUCGGACGCUGGCAUAAUGGUCGUAAGCGACCCGU